rnacentral:rRNA from 1 species
UUACGUGGAUAAGGGUGGCAGGUGGAUGGUUAGGCUAUCAGAGGCGAUGAAGGACGCGCCAAGCUGCGAUAAGUCCGGGGGAGCUGCACAGGAGCUAUGAUCCCGGAAUUUCCGAAUGGGGCAACCCCGUGGGAUAACCCCCACGAUCCCGCAAGGGAGGCGAGACCCGGUGAAUUGAAACAUCUUAGUAGCCGGAGGAAAAGAAAUCGAUCCGAGAUGGCGUCAGUAGCGGCGAGCGAACGCGUCAAAGCCCAAACCAGGUGGUUUACCACCUGGGGUUGUAGGGCCUGCGAUAUGGGAUCAACAAGACGAGCAGAACGACCUGGAAAGGUCGGCCAGAGCGGGUGAUAGCCCCGUACGCGAAGUCGAGUUGGCCCUAGCGGGUACCUGAGUAACGCAAGACUCGUGAAAUCCUGCGUGAAUCUAGGGAGACCACUCUCUAAGGCUAAAUACUCCUGAUAGACCGAUAGCGAAGUAGUAGCGCGAGCGAAAACUGAAAAGGACCCCUGGCGGGGAGUGAAAAGACCCUGAAUCCUGCCACUUACAAGCAGUCGUAGACCUAUGUCGCAAGACAGGUUGGCGGCGUGCCUUUUGCAUAAUGACCCAGCGACUUACCGUUUGCAGCAAGCUUAAGGUCUUACGGACCGGAGGCGUAGGGAAACCGAGUCUGAAUAGGGCGAUCAGUUGCAGGCGGUAGACCCGAAACUUAGUGAUCUAGCCAUGAGCAGGCUGAAGCGAGGGUAAGACCUCGUGGAGGGCCGAACCCGUGACCGUUGAAAAGGUUUGGGAUGACUUGUGGCUAGGAGCAAAAGACUAAUCAAACUGAGAGAUAUCUGGUUCUCCCCGAAAUAUAUUUAGGUAUAGGCUCACGAAACUACGAUGUGGGGGUAGAGCACUGAAUGGGCUAGGGGCCUCACCGGGUUACCAAACCCAAUCAAACUCCGAAUACCAUAUCGACUAUCGUGGGGCUCAGACAGUGGGGGAUAAUCUUCAUUGUCAAAAGGGAAAGAGCCCAGACCAACAGCUAAGGUCCCAAAAUACAUGCUAAGUGGAAAACGUUGUGGAGUUACUGAGACAACCAGGAGGUUGGCUUAGAAGCAGCCAUCCUUUAAAGAGUGCGUAACAGCUCACUGGUCGAGCACGAUGGUGCCGAAAAUAACCGGGGCUCAAGCAUGCUACCGAAGCUUUGGCUGUGACAGUUCCUUCGGGAAUCGUCACGGGGUAGGGGAGCGUUGUGUGCAGGUUGAAGGCAGACCGAAAGGACUGCUGGACAGCACACAAGUGAUUAUGCUGGGAUGAGUAACGAUAAAGCAGGUGAGAAUCCUGCUCACCGUAAGCACACGGUUUCCUCCGGAAGGUCAUUCCGCGGAGGGUUAGGCGGUCCCUAAGUCGAGGCCGAUAGGCGUAGACGAUGGAACACGGGUUAAUAUUCCCGUCCUGCCAGUGAAGUGCCCACGGAGAACGCAUGAGACUAACACGGUGGAGCCAGAAGCUGGCCCAUCCGGUGGCGCGGUUUACCUAGUUGAAAGAUUAGGUGCACGCUUCGUCAUCGGCAAACGCCUUGAGCGCUAUAGGCGUGUGAUGUCAUGGUGCCGAGAAAAGCCCGUCGGGAGAUAAUUUCAUUGGCAACCGUACUUCAAACCGACACAGGUGUGCGAGGAGAGUAUCCUCAGGUGCGCGAGAGAACUCUGGUUAAGGAACUCGGCAAAUUCACUCCGUACGUUCGCAAGAAGGAGUGCCGGCGCAAGCCGGCCGCAGUGAAGAGGCCCAACCGACUGUUUACUAAAAACACAGUUCCGUGCAAACUCGAAAGAGGACGUAUACGGAAUGAUGCCUGCCCGGUGCUGGAAGGUUAAGGGGAGGGGUCAGCCGCAAGGCGAAGCUCCGAACUCAAGCCCCAGUAAACGGCGGCCGUAACUAUGACGGUCCUAAGGUAGCGAAAUUCCUUGUCGGGUAAGUUCCGACCUGCAUGAAAGGCAUAACGAGUUGGGCACUGUCUCAACCAGAGACUCGGUGAAAUUGCAGUAUGGGCGAAGAUACCCAUUACCCGCAGCAGGACGAAAAGAC